GAUCAUGGCUCAGGAUGAACGCUAGCUACAGGCUUAACACAUGCAAGUCGAGGGGAAACGACAUCGAAAGCUUGCUUUUGGUGGGCGUUCGACCGGCGCACGGGUGAGUAACGCGUAUCCAACCUGCCCACCACUUGGGGAUAACCUUGCGAAAGUAAGACUAAUACCCAAUGAUAUCCCACGAAGGCAUCCGAAUGGGAUUAAAGAUUUAUCGGUGAUGGAUGGGGAUGCGUCUGAUUAGCUUGUUGGCGGGGUAACGGCCCACCAAGGCAACGAUCAGUAGGGGUUCUGAGAGGAAGGUCCCCCACAUUGGAACUGAGACACGGUCCAAACUCCUACGGGAGGCAGCAGUGAGGAAUAUUGGUCAAUGGGCGAGAGCCUGAACCAGCCAAGUAGCGUGCAGGAUGACGGCCCUAUGGGUUGUAAACUGCUUUUAUAAGGGAAUAAAGUGAGCCUCGUGAGGCUUUUUGCAUGUACCUUAUGAAUAAGGACCGGCUAAUUCCGUG
rnacentral:rRNA from 1 species